ensembl:lncRNA
AGGGAAAAUGGGUGAUUUUCGAGUUAAAUCUGGGAUUUUUGAAGGGAAAAUGGGUGAUUUUUGGGUUAAAUGGGAGAUUUUUGAAGAGAAAACGGGUGAUUUCUGCUUAAAUGCGUGAUUUUUUAGCUAAAUGUUGGAUUUUCGAAGAGAAAAUGCAUGAUUUACCCUUCAAUGGGGGAUUUUCGAGGAGAAAAUGUGUGAUUUGGGGGUAAAAUGGGGAAUUUUCGAAGAGAAACGGGGUGAUUUUCACUUAAAUGGGGGAUUUUUGAAGAGAAAAUGGGAUAUUUUUGGCUUAAAUGGGGCCUUUUUGAAGCGAAAAUGUUCGGUUUACGCUUUAGAUGGUGUAUUUGGAUUUUUGGGAUAAAUGGGGGAUGUUCGAAGAGAAAGUGCAUGAUUUACCCUUAAAUGUUGGAUUUUCGAGGAGAAAAUGUGUGAUUUGGGGGUAAAAUGGGGGAUUUUUGAAGGGAAAAUGCGUGAUUUUUGCUUAAAUGCAUGAUGUUUUUUGUUAAAUGGGGGAUUUUUGAGGAGAAAAUGCAUGAUUUAUUCUUAAAUGGGGGGUUUUUGAGGAGAAAAUGCGUGAUUUUCCAAAUAAUUGGGGAUUUUUGAAGGGAAAAUGGGUGAUUUUCGGAUUAAAUGGGAGAAUUUUGAAGAGAAAAUGGGUGAUUUUGGGGUUAAAUGGGAGAUUUUCGAAGAGAAAACGGGUGAUUUUCGCUUAAAUGCGUGAUUUUUUAGCUAAAUGUUGGAUUUUCGAAGAGAAAAUGCAUGAUUUACCCUUAAAUGGGGGAUUUUCGAGGAGAAAAUGUGUGAUUUUGGGGUAAAAUGGGAAAUUUUCGAAGAGAAAAUGCGUGAUUUUUGCUUAAAUGCAUGAUGUUUUUUGUUAAAUGGGGGAUUUUUGAGGAGAAAAUGCAUGAUUUACCCUUAAAUGGGGUGUUUUUGAGGAGAAAAUGCGUGAUUUUCCAAAUAAUUGGGGAUUUUUGAAGGGAAAAUGGGUGAUUUUUGGGUUAAAUGGGGGAAUUUUGAAGAGAAAAUGUGUGAUUUUCGGGUUAAAUGGGAGAUUUUCGAAGAGAAAACGGGUGAUUUUCGCUUAUAUGCGUGAUUUUUUAUUUAAAUGUUGGAUUUUCGAAGAGAAAAUGCAUGAUUUUCCCUUAAAUGGGGGAUUUCGAGGAGAAACUGAGUGAUUUUGGGGUAAAAUGGGAAGUUUUCGAAGAGAAAAGGGGUGAUUUUCCCUUAAAUGGGGGAUUUUUGAAGAGAAAAGGGGUGAUUUUCACUUCAAUGUGGGAUUUUCGAAGAGAAAAUGGGUGAUUUUUGCUUAAAUGGGGCAUUUUCGUCGGGAAAAUGGGUGGUUUUCGAGUUAAAUCUGGGAUUUUUGAAGGGAAAAUGGGUGAUUUUCGGGUUAAAUGGGGGAUUUUUGAAGAGAAAAUGGGUGAGUUUUGCUUAAAUGGGGCAUUUUCGUCGGGAAAAUGGGUGAAUUUCGAGUUAAAUCUGGGAUUUUUUAAGGGAAAAUGGGUGAUUUUCGGAUUAAAUGGGAGAAUUUUGAAGAGAAAAUGGGUGAUUUUGGGGUUAAAUGGGAGAUUUUCGAAGAGAAAACGGGUGAUUUUCAAUUAAAUGCGUGAUUUUUUAGCUAAAUGUUGGAUUUUCGAAGAGAAAAUGCAUGAUUUACCCUUCAAUGGGGGAUUUUCGAGGAGAAAAUGGGUGAUUUUGGGGUAAAAUGGGAAAUUUUCGAAGAGAAAAUGCGUGAUUUUUGCUUAAAUGCAUGAUGUUUUUUGUUAAAUGGGGGAUUUUUGAAGGGAAAAUGCAUGAUUUUCCCUUAAAUGGGGGAUUUUUGAGGAGAAAAUUCGUGAUUGUCCAAAUAAUUGGGGAUUUUUGAAGGGGAAAUGGGUGAUUUUCGGAUUAAAUGGGGGGAUUUUGAAGAGAAAAUGGGUGAUUUUGGGGUUAAAUGUUGGAUUUUUGAAGAGAAAACAGGUGAUUUUCGCUUAAAUGCGUGAUUUUUUAGCUAAAUGUUGGAUUUUUGAAGAGAAAAUGCAUGAUUUACCCUUAAAUGGGGGAUUUUCGAGGAGAAAAUGCGUGAUAUUUGCUUAAAUGGGGCAUUUUCGAAGAGAAAAUGCGUGAUUUUUGCUUAAAUGCAUGAUUUUUUUGUUAAAUGGGGGAUUUUUGAGGAGAAAAUGCAUGAUUUACCCUUAAAUGGGGGAUUUUCAAGGAGAAAAUGCGUGAUUUUCCAAAUAAUUGGAGAUUUUUGAAGGGAAAAUGGGUGAUUUUCGGAUUAAAUGGGGGAAUUUUGAAGAGAAAAUGGGUGAUUUUCGGGUUAAAUGGGGGAUUUUUGAAGAGAAAACGGGUGAUUUUUGCUUACAUGUCUGAUUUUUUAGCUAAAUGUUGGAUUUUCGAAGAGAAAAUGCAUGAUUUACCCUUAAAUGGGGGGAUUUUCGUGGAGAAAAUGGGUGAUUUUUGGGUUAAAUGGGGCAUUUUUGAAGAGAAAAUGGGUGAUUUUCGAGAUAAAUCAAGGAUUUUUGAAGAGAAAAUGCAUGAUUUACCCUUAAAUGUUGGAUUUUCAAGGUGAAAGUGCGUGAUUUUCAAAAUAAAUGAGUGAUUUUUGAAGGGAAAAUGGUUGAUUUUUGGGUUAAAUGGGGGAUUUUGAAGAGAAAAUGGGUGAUUUUCGGGUUAAAUGGGGGAUUUUCGAAGAGAAAGUGGGUGAUUAUCGAGAUAAAUCAAGGAUUUUUGAAAAGAACAUGCAUGAUUUACCCUUAAAUGGGGGAUUUUCUAGGAGAAAAUGCGUGAUUUUCAACAUAAAUGCACGAUUUUUGAAGGGAAAAUUGGCGAUUUUUGGUUUUAAUUGGGGAGUUUUGAAGAGAAAAAGGGCGAUUUUCAUUUAAAUGGGCGAUUUUCGAAGAGUAGAUUUGUGAUUUUCGUUUAAAUGGGGGAUUUUCAAAGGGAAAAUGCAUGAUUUACGGGUUAAAUUGGGGAUUUUUGAAGAGAUAAUUCGUGAUUUAAAUUUAAAUGGGGGAUUUCCGAAGAGAAAAUGCCAGAUUUUUGAGUUAAAUGGGGGGAUUUUCCAAGCGAAAAUUUGUGUUUUUCACGUUAAAUUGGGGAUUUUGGGAUUUAAAAUGUGUGAUUUUCGCUUUAAGUGGGUGAUUAAGUGGGUGAUAAGGAGAAAAAUGGUCAUUUUUGGGUUAAAUGGGGAAUUUUUGAAGAGAAAAUCGGCAAUUUUCGCUUAAAUAGGGGAUUUUCAAAGCGCAAAUGUGUGUCUUUCAGAAUAAAUUUGGGAUUUUCAAAUCAAAAAUGGAUGGUUUUCCCUUAAAUUUGGAUUUUCAAAGGGAAAAUGCAUGAUUUUCGGGUUAUAUGGGGGAUUUUCGAAGACAAAAUACGUGUUUUUC